GGGAAGCGCCGCCGCCGCCGCCCCGCUCGGUCCUCCACCUGUCCGCUACGCUCGCCGGGGCCGCGGCCGCCCGAGGGACUGUGAACAUGUCCGGGAUCGCCCUCAGCAGACUCGCCCAGGAGAGGAAAGCGUGGAGGAAAGACCACCCGUUUACUCCGUGGGAAGGAGGCUUGUUUAAACUACGGAUGCUUUUCAAAGAUGAUUAUCCAUCUUCGCCACCAAAAUGUAAGUAAAUUCGAACCACCAUUAUUUCACCCGAAUGUGUA
rnacentral:sRNA from 1 species